rnacentral:rRNA from 1 species
CGGACGGGUGAGUAAUGUCUGGGAAACUGCCCGAUGGAGGGGGAUAACUACUGGAAACGGUAGCUAAUACCGCAUGACGUCGCAAGACCAAAGAGGGGACCUUCGGGCCUCUUGCCAUCGGAUGUGCCCAGAUGGGAUUAGCUAGUAGGUGGGGUAACGGCUCACCUAGGCGACGAUCCCUAGCUGGUCUGAGAGGAUGACCAGCCACACUGGAACUGAGACACGGUCCAG